rnacentral:rRNA from 1 species
AGUCAUAUGGAUCUUAUAAGUCAGUGGUGAAAGCCGAUAGCUUAACUAUCGAACUGCCAUUGAUACUGUAGGUCUAGAGUACAGAUGAUGUUGGCGGAAUAUGACAUGUAGCGGUGAAAUGCAUAGAUAUGUCAUAGAACACCGAUUGCGAAGGCAGCUGACUAAACUGUAACUGACGCUGAUGCACGAAAGUGCGGGGAUCAAACAGGAUUAGAUACCCUGGUAGUCCGCACAGUAAACGAUGAUAACUAGUUGUUUGCGAUAUACAGUAAGCGACCAAGCGAAAGCGAUAAGUUAUCCACCUGGGGAGUACGCCCGCAAGGGUGAAACUCAAAGGAAUUGACGGGGGGCCCGCACAAGCGGAGGAGCAUGUGGUUUAAUUCGAUGAUACGCGAGGAACCUUACCAGGGCUUGAAAGUUAGUGACCGUCCCUGAAAGGGGACCUUCAGCAAUGACACGAAACUAGGUGCUGCAUGGCUGUCGUCAGCUCGUGCCGUGAGGUGUUGGGUUAAGUCCCGUAACGAGCGCAACCCCUAUCAUUAGUUGCCAACAGGUAAAGCUGGGGACUCUAAUGAGACUGCCCGCGCAAGCGGUGAGGAAGGUGGGGAUGACAUCAAGUCAUCACGGCCCUUACGUCCAGGGCUACACACGUGCUACAAUGGCAGAUACAGCAGGUUGCCAUCCGGUAACGGAGAGCUAAUCCCUAAAGUCUGUCUCAGUUCGGAUUGAGGUCUGCAACUCGACCUCAUGAAGCUGGAUUCGCUAGUAAUCGGGAAUCAGCAAUGUUCCGGUGAA